rnacentral:rRNA from 1 species
GUAGGUGGCAAGCGUUGUCCGGAAUUAUUGGGCGUAAAGCGCGCGCAGGCGGUUCUUUAAGUCUGAUGUGAAAGCCCACGGCUCAACCGUGGAGGGUCAUUGGAAACUGGAGAACUUGAGUACAGAAGAGGAAAGCGGAAUUCCACGUGUAGCGGUGAAACGCGUAGAGAUGUGGAGGAACACCAGUGGCGAAGGCGGCUUUCUGGUCUGUAACUGACGCUGAGGCGCGAAAGCGUGGGGAGCAAACAGGGAUUAGAUACCCUGGUAGUCCACGCCGUAAACGAUGAGUGCUAAGUGUUAGGGGGUUUCCCGCCCCUUAGUGCUGCAGCUAACGCACUAAGCACUCCGCCUGGGGAGUACGGCCGCAAGGCUG